rnacentral:rRNA from 1 species
AGGAUGAACGCUGGCGGUCUGCUUAACACAUGCAAGUCGAACGGAGUACCUCGGUACUUAGUGGCGGACGGGUGAGUAACGCGUGAGAAUCUGCCCUUAGGUCGGGGACAACCAUUGGAAACGAUGGCUAAUACCGGAUAAGCCGAGAGGUAAAAGAUUAAUUGCCUAGGGAAGAGCUCGCGUCUGAUUAGCUAGUUGGUGAGGUAAAGGCUCACCAAGGCAUCGAUCAGUAGCUGGUCUGAGAGGAUGAUCAGCCACACUGGGACUGAGACACGGCCCAGACUCCUACGGGAGGCAGCAGUGGGAAUUUUCCGCAAUGGGCGAAAGCCUGACGGAGCAAGACCGCGUGGGGGAAGAAGGCUCUUGGGUUGUAAACCCCUUUUCUCUGGGAAGAACGCAAUGACGGUACCAGAGAAUCAGCAUCGGCUAACUCCGUGCCAGCAGCCG